rnacentral:rRNA from 1 species
GACGAACGCUGGCGGCGUGCUUAACACAUGCAAGUCGAACGGAAAGGCCCUGCUUUUGUGGGGUGCUCGAGUGGCGAACGGGUGAGUAACACGUGAGUAACCUGCCCUUGACUUUGGGAUAACUUCAGGAAACUGGGGCUAAUACCGGAUAGGAGCUCCUGCUGCAUGGUGGGGGUUGGAAAGUUUCGGCGGUUGGGGAUGGACUCGCGGCUUAUCAGCUUGUUGGUGGGGUAGUGGCUUACCAAGGCUUUGACGGGUAGCCGGCCUGAGAGGGUGACCGGCCACAUUGGGACUGAGAUACGGCCCAGACUCCUACGGGAGGCAGAGGUGGGGGAUAUUGCACAAUGGGCGGAAGCCUGAUGCAGCAACGCCGCGUGCGGGAUGACGGCCUUCGGGUUGUAAACCGCUUUCGCCUGUGACGAAGCGUGAGUGACGGUAAUGGGUAAAGAAGCACCGGCUAACUACGUG